rnacentral:rRNA from 1 species
UUGGAAUUCAACCUGAGAGUUUGAUCCUGGCUCAGAACGAACGCUGGCGGCAUGCCUAACACAUGCAAGUCGAACGAGAAGCUAUCUUCG